UAGUGGCGAACGGGUGAGUAACACGUGGGCAAUCUGCCCUGCACUCUGGGACAAGCCCUGGAAACGGGGUCUAAUACCGGAUACGAGUCUCCAAGGCAUCUUGGGGACUGUAAAGCUCCGGCGGUGCAGGAUGAGCCCGCGGCCUAUCAGCUUGUUGGUGAGGUAGUGGCUCACCAAGGCGACGACGGGUAGCCGGCCUGAGAGGGCGACCGGCCACACUGGGACUGAGACACGGCCCAGACUCCUACGGGAGGCAGCAGUGGGGAAUAUUGCACAAUGGGCGAAAGCCUGAUGCAGCGACGCCGCGUGAGGGAUGACGGCCUUCGGGUUGUAAACCUCUUUCAGCAGGGAAGAAGCGAAAGUGACGGUACCUGCAGAAGAAGCGCCGGCUAACUACGUGCCAGCAGCCGCGGUAAUACGUAGGGCGCAAGCGUUGUCCGGAAUUAUUGGGCGUAAAGAGCUCGUAGGCGGCUUGUCACGUCGGUUGUGAAAGCCCGGGGCUUAACCCCGGGUCUGCAGUCGAUACGGGCAGGCUAGAGUUCGGUAGGGGAGAUCGGAA
rnacentral:rRNA from 1 species